UAGAUGGACGCUUGUUGGUUUAAGCGCUUAGCUGUUAACUAAGAGUUUGUAGGAUCGAAACCUGCCCGUCUAG
rnacentral:tRNA from 1 species